rnacentral:tRNA from 1 species
AAGGCCUUAGCUUAAUUAAAGUGUUUGAGUUGCAUUCAUGAGAUAUAAGGUAGAGUCUUAUAGGUCUUAUC